rnacentral:rRNA from 1 species
AGCAGCCGCGGUAAUUCCAGCUCCAAUAGCGUAUAUUAAAGUUGUUGCAGUUAAAAAGCUCGUAGUUGAAUUUCGGGAUUAAUAUGCUGGUCGUGCCAUUGGUACGUACUAGUAUUAUUGAUUUCUCCCUUCUGAUGAAUCAUGAUGUCAUUAAUUUGAUGUCAUGGGGAAUCAGGACUGUUACUUUGAAAAAUUAGAGUGUUUAAAGCAGGCUCGCGCUUGAAUACAUUAGCAUGGAAUAAUGAAAUAGGACGUUUGAUUCUAUUUUGUUGGUUUCUAGGAUUGACGUAAUGAUUAAUAGGGAUAGUUGGGGGCAUUAGUAUUCAAUUGUCAGAGGUGAAAUUCUUGGACUUAUUGAAGACUAACUACUGCGAAAGCAUUUGCCAAGGAUGUUUUCAUUAAUCAAGAACGAAAGUUAGGGGAUCGAAGACGAUCAGAUACCGUCGUAGU